rnacentral:rRNA from 1 species
CACAUGCAAGUCGAACGCACGGCCUUGGGGUUUUCCUUGGGGUUGGUGAGUGGCGAACGGGUGAGUAACACGUGAGUAACCUGCCCCCUUCUUUGGGAUAACGGUCGGAAACGGCUGCUAAUACUGGAUAUUCACACAUUGUCGCAUGGUGGUGUGUGGAAAGCUUUUGUGGUGGGGGAUGGGCUCGCGGCCUAUCAGCUUGUUGGUGGGGUGAUGGCUUACCAAGGCUUUGACGGGUAACCGGCCUGAGAGGGUGACCGGUCACAUUGGGACUGAGAUACGGCCCAGACUCCUACGGGAGGCAGCAGUGGGGAAUUUUGCACAAUGGACGCAAGUCUGAUGCAGCGACGCCGCGUGAGGGAUGGAGGCCUUCGGGUUGUGAACCUCUUUCGCUCAUGGUCAAGCCGCACGUGUGCGUGUGGUGAGGGUAGUGGGUAAAG